rnacentral:rRNA from 1 species
AACGUAGGAGGCGAGCGUUAUCCGGAUUCACUGGGCGUAAAGCGCGUGCAGGUGGCUUGGUAAGUUAGGCGUGAAAUCUCCCGGCUCAACUGGGAGAGGUCGUCUAAUACUACCGGGCUUGAGUGCGGCAGAGGGGACUGGAAUUCCUGGUGUAGCAGUGAAAUGCGUAGAUAUCAGGAGGAAUACCGAUGGCGAAGGCAGGUCUCUGGGCUGACACUGACGCUCAUGCACGAAAGCGUGGGGAGCAAACAGG